rnacentral:rRNA from 1 species
GAUGAACGCUGGCGGCGUGCCUAAUACAUGCAAGUCGAGCGAACGGACGAGAAGCUUGCUUCUCUGAUGUUAGCGGCGGACGGGUGAGUAACACGUGGAUAACCUACCCAUAAGACUGGGAUAACUUCGGGAAACCGGAGCUAAUACCGGAUAAUAUUUUGAACCGCAUGGUUCAAAAGUGAAAGACGGUCUUGCUGUCACUUAUAGAUGGAUCCUCGCUGCAUUAGCUAGUUGGUAAGGUAACGGCUUACCAAGGCAACGAUGCAUAGCCGACCUGAGAGGGUGAUCGGCCACACUGGAACUGAGACACGGUCCAGACUCCUACGGGAGGCAGCAGUAGGGAAUCUUCCGCAAUGGGCGAAAGCCUGACGGAGCAACGCCGCGUGAGUGAUGAAGGUCUUCGGAUCGUAAAACUCUGUUAUUAGGGAAGAACAUAUGUGUAAGUAACUGUGCACAUCUUGACGGUACCUAAUCAGAAAGCCACGGCUAACUACGUG